AUACUGAUGUUGAUCUUUAUCA
rnacentral:miRNA from 1 species